UCUCCUCAGGCCCCUGCCAAUAAGGCAAAGCCCAGAGCGAACACAUCUCACCAGGAGGAAAAGCAGAAUGUGAUGGACUGAGGGCAGUGGGAGUGAAGGUUCUCAGGAAGACUGAAAUCUCUCCACCCCAGCCCUUGGUCUAUAAAUGAUGAAAUGCUGUUGACUCAAAAGGGGGCCAAGGCAAAUACUAUAGGGAUAAUUCAGGAUGUGAAGCUUCUGGGCCACCUCCACAAGAGGGCCAGCAUCACCCCCUGCUCAGUCCUGCUUUAUAUCUGUGUGCUGAUUUGCACGGGUGACAGUAAAGCAAUGGACUGCUAUGGGUGGCUCUUGGUAAGUUUUCCUUUACAAAACUUCAGCAGUGCUUUGUGAUAGUGGACACUAAAGUACAUGGACUGAUGUAUUAAAACAAAACCAAAACAAA
rnacentral:lncRNA from 10 species